GGUUGAUCCUGCCAGUAGUCAUAUGCUUGUCUUAAAGAUUAAGCCAUGCAUGUCUAAGUAUAAAUAUUAUACAGUGAAACUGCGAAUGGCUCAUUAAAACAGUUAUAGUUUAUUCGAUAAUUUCUCCUACAUGGAUAACCGUAGUAAUUCUAGAGCUAAUACAUGCUGUCAAACCUGACUUCGCGGAAGGGUUGUAUUUAUUAGAUAUAAACCAAUACCUUCGGGUGUUGUGAUGAAUCAUAGUAACUGAGCGAAUCGCGGCUGUGCCGUGAUAGAUCGUUCAAGUUUCUGC
rnacentral:rRNA from 1 species